GCCGGGCACAGUGGUGCAUGCCUCUAAUCCCAGAAACUUGGGAGGCCUAGGCAGGAGGAUUGCAAGUUUGAGGCCAGCCUCAUCAACUUGGUGAGGGCCUAAGCAACUUAGCUAGACCCCGUCUCAA
rnacentral:sRNA from 1 species